ensembl:lncRNA
UAAAAAUAACCGACUUCCUGUUGGGUUUCGGAUAUUGCUCCAAGAGUCUUUUUUGUAGGUACUGAUGCUUUACAUAUGUGUGUCAAUUUUCGUGCAUGUACGUGAAACACAGCUCGAGGGCUGUUGAUUUUUUUACGAUAGGUGGCGCUGUCGAGCCAUUUUGCCACACCCUCUUCUGAAACCUAUAUCAGACGUAAAUUUUCACCAGGUCUGACGCGUGUGCAAAGUUUCAGGACUUUUCGAGCAUGUUUAGGCCCUCAAAAAUGCGAUUCAUUUUGGAGAAGAAGAAGAAGAAGAAGAAGAAGAAGAAGAAGAAGAAUAAUAAACAAAGCAGAUACAAUAGGGUCCUCACACCAUCGGUGCUCGGGCCCUAAUAAAUAUAGCUGCAAGCAGCAAUGGCGGGCUCAAGCCAUCAGCGCAAACGCCACCCCGGUGGCAUCAGGU